rnacentral:rRNA from 1 species
UACCAGCACCCCGAGUGGUCGGGACGUUUUUAUUGGGCCUAAAGCAUCCGUAGCCGGUUCUACAAGUCUUCCGUUAAAUCCACCUGCUCAACAGAUGGGCUGCGGAAGAUACUAUGGAGCUAGGAGGCGGGAGAGGCAAGCGGUACUCGAUGGGUAGGGGUAAAAUCCGUUGAUCCAUUGAAGACCACCAGUGGCGAAGGCGGCUUGCCAGAACGCGCUCGACGGUGAGGGAGUGAAAGCUGGGGGGAGCAAACCGG